AUUGAACGCUGGCGGCAUGCCUAACACAUGCAAGUCGAGCGAGCGGCGGACGGGUGAGUAAUUUCUGGGAAACUGCCUGAUGGAUGGGGAUAACUACUGGAAACGGUAGCUAAUACCGCGUACCAUCAGCAGUGCCCAGUUGGGAUUAGCUAGUAGGUGGGGUAAUGGCUAACCAAGGCAACGAUCCCUAGCUGGUCUGAGAGGAUGACCAGCCACACUGGAACUGAGACACGGUCCAGACUCCUACGGGAGGCAGCAGUGGGGAAUAUUGCACAAUGGGCGAAAGCCUGACGGAGCAAUGCCGCGUGUGUGAAGAAGGCCUUCGGGUCGUAAAGCACUUUCAGCGGGGAGGCGUUACCUAAAGAAGAAGCACCGGCUAACUCCGUGCCAGCAGCCGCGGUAAUAC
rnacentral:rRNA from 1 species